rnacentral:rRNA from 1 species
UACAGAGGGUGCAAGCGUUGCUCGGAUUUACUGGGCGUAAAGCGUACGCAGACGGUGAGGAAGGUCGGAUGUGAAAGCCCUGGGCUCAACCCAGGAACUGCAUCCGAAACCCCCUCGCUAGAGUAUGGGAGAGGGAAGCGGAAUUCCUGGUGUAGAGGUGAAAUUCGUAGAUAUCAGGAGGAACAUCUGCGGCGAAGGCGGCUUCCUGGCCCAUUACUGACGUUCAGGUACGAAAGCGUGG